rnacentral:rRNA from 1 species
CUGCUUACUGUGAAGCCGGGCCGGGAGGCAUCCGGUGGAGUGAUCGGAAGUGAGAAUGUUGACAUGAGUAGCGAUAAACAGGGCGAGAGACCCUGUCGCCGAAAGUCCAAGGGUUCCUGCUUAAAGUUAAUCUGAGCAGGGUAAGCCGGCCCCUAAGGCGAGGCCGAAAGGCGUAGUCGAUGGGAACCAGGUUAAUAUUCCUGGGCCAGGAGGAAGUGACGGAUCUGAAACGUUGUCUGCCCUUAUCGGAUUGGGUGGGCCGCCAACAGGUCCCUGGAAAUAGCCCUCCAUCAGACCGUACCCUAAACCGACACAGGUGGACUGGUAGAGAAUACCAAGGCGCUUGAGAGAACCACAUCAAAGGAACUCGGCAAAAUACCUCCGUAAGUUCGCGAGAAGGAGGCCCCGUUGGCAGGCAACUGUCGGCGGGGGGCACAAACUAGGGGGUGACGACUGUUUACUAAAAACACAGGGCUGUGCGAAGCCGCAAGGCGACGUAUACAGUCUGACGCCUGCCCGGUACUGGAAGGUUAAAAGGAGGGGUGCAAGCUCCGAAUUGAAGCCCCAGUAAACGGCGGCCGUAACAAUAACGGUCCUAAGGUAGCGAAAUUCCUUGUCGGGUAAGUUCCGACCUGCACGAAUGGCGUAACGACUUCCCCGCUGUCUCUGAUGUGGACUCAGCGAAAUUGAACUGUCUGUCAAGAUGCAGACUUCCCGCGGUUAGACGGAAAGACCCCAUGCACCUUUACCCCAGCUUUGCACUGGCAUCAGGAUUGUGAUGUGCAGGAUAGGUGGUAGGCUUUGAAACGGGGACGCCAGUUCUCGUGGAGCCUCCCUUGAGAUACCACCCUUCGCACUCUUGAUGUCUAACCGCGGUCCGUCAUCCGGAUCCGGGACCCUGCAUGGUGGGGAGUUUGACUGGGGCGGUCUCCUCCCAAAGUGUAACGGAGGCGCGCGAAGGUAGGCUCAGACCGGUCGGAAAUCGGUCGCUGAGUGCAAUGGCAGAAGCCUGCCUGACUGCAAGACUGACAAGUCGAGCAGAGACGAAAGUCGGUCAUAGUGAUCCGGUGGUCCCAAGUGGGAGGGCCAUCGCUCAACGGAUAAAAGGUACGCUGGGGAUAACAGGCUGAUGAUGCCCAAGAGUCCAUAUCGACGGCAUCGUUUGGCACCUCGAUGUCGGCUCAUCUCAUCCUGGGGCUGGAGCAGGUCCCAAGGGUAUGGCUGUUCGCCAUUUAAAGAGGUACGUGAGCUGGGUUUAAAACGUCGUGAGACAGUUCGGUCCCUAUCUGCCGUGGGUGUAGGAGACUUGAGAAGAGUUGCCCCUAGUACGAGAGGACCGGGGUGAACGGACCACUGGUGGAUCAGUUGUCGUGCCAACGGCAGUGCUGAGUAGCUAUGUUCGGACAGGAUAACCGCUGAAGGCAUCUAAGCGGGAAGCCCCCUUCAAAACAAGGUCUCCCUUGAGAGCCGUAGAAGACCACUACGUCGAUAGGCCGGAGGUGUAAGUGCAGCAAUGCAUUCAGCUGACCGGUACUAAUUGCCCA